GAUGAACGCUGGCGGCGUGCCUAAUACAUGCAAGUCGAGCGAAUGGAUUAAGAGCUUGCUCUUAUGAAGUUAGCGGCGGACGGGUGAGUAACACGUGGGUAACCUGCCCAUAAGACUGGGAUAACUCCGGGAAACCGGGGCUAAUACCGGAUAACAUUUUGAACCGCAUGGUUCGAAGUUGAAAGGCGGCUUCGGCUGUCACUUAUGGAUGGACCCGCGUCGCAUUAGCUAGUUGGUGAGGUAACGGCUCACCAAGGCAACAAUGCGUAGCCGACCUGACAGGGUGAUCGGCCACACUGGGACUGAGACACGGCCCAGACUCGUACGGGAGGAAGCAGUAGGGAAUCUUCCGCAAUGGACGAAAGUCUGACGGAGCAACGCCGCGUGAGUGAUGAAGGCUUUCGGGUCGUAAAACUCUGUUGUUAGGGAAGAACAAGUGCUAGUUGAAUAAGCUGGCACCUUGACGGUACCUAACCAGAAAGCCACGGCUAACUACGUGCCAGCCGCCGCGGUAA
rnacentral:rRNA from 1 species